rnacentral:sRNA from 1 species
UGACACCCUUUAAGUUAAUCAAGGAAGCUUUGGUCACUGCCCCAAUAGUCCAAGCUCCAAACUAGGACUUCCCAUCCGAGAUCAUGUGUGAUGCUUCAGAUUAUGCAAUAGGAGCAGUUUUGGGCCAGCGAGCAGAACGAUGGAUGAUACACAAGUAAGGUAUGCCACUACAGAGAAGGAAUUGCUAGCUGUGGUAUUUGCAUUCGAGAAAUUUAGAAGCUACCUAGCGGGUUCUAAGGUGACAGUCUACACUGACCAUGCUGCUCUGAGGCAUAUAUAUGCGAAGAAGGAUACCAAACCUAGGCUGUUAAGAUGGAUCUUAUUGCUCCAAGAGUUUGACAUGGAGAUAGUUGAUAAGAAGGGAAUUGAAAACGGUGUAGCUGAUCAUCUGUCUAGGAUGAGAACUGAAGACGAGGUCCCUAUUGACGACUCCAUGCCAGAAGAACAGCUAAUGGCAAUUCAGCAACUUAACGAGAGUGCUCAAAUUUGGAAAUCACUCGAACAAGUUUGUUCGAUUGAAGAAAAGCUUCCGUGGUAUGCUGAUCACGUCAAUUACUUGGUUAGUGGUGAAGAGCCUCUAAAUCUGUCGAGCUAUGAGAAAAAGAAGUUCUUCAAGGACAUUAACCAUUUCUACUGGGACAAACCUUAUCUCUACACAUUCUGCAAAGAUAAGAUCUACUGGAAAUGCGACUCAGAUGAUGAAAUCGAAGGCAUCCUACUACACUGCCAUGGGUCUGCCUAUGGUGGCCACUUUGCAAAGUUUAAGACAGUGUCAAAAAUCCUGCAAGCAGGUUUUUGGUGGCUGACAAUGGUUAAGGAUGCUCAGGAAUUUAUCUCGAAAUGUGACUCAUGUCAGAGAAGAGGGAACAUCAGUAGAAGGAAUGAGAUGCCUCAGAAUCCGAUCUUGGAAGUUGAGAUCUUUGACGUUUGGGGAAUAGAUUUUAUGGGUCCGUUUCCUUCUUCUUACAGAAACAAGUACAUAAUGUUCGUAGUGGACUAUGUAUCGAAAUGGGUUGAAGCCAUAGCUAGCCCCACUAAUGAUGCUAGAGUUGUGCUAAAGUUGUUCAAGACAAUUAUCUUCCCUAGAUUUGGAGUCCCGAGAGUUGUAAUCAGUGACGGAGGGAAACAUUUUAUGAACAAGGUUUUUGAGAACCUUUUGAAGAAGCAUGGAGUAAAUCACAAGUUAGCCACUCCUUAUCAUCCACAGACGAGCGGGCAGGUGGAAAUCUCCAACAGGAAGAUAAAAGCAAUUCUAGAGAAAACAGUGGGGAUUACAAGGAAAGAUUGGUCUACUAAGCUCGAUGACGCAGUAUGGGCUUACAGAACAGCCUUCAAGACCCCUAUUGGCACGACUCCUUUCAACCUUCUCUAUGGAAAAUCCUGUCACUUGCCUGUUGAGCUCGAGUUAAACUCCUGAACUUCGACGUUAAAACCGCCGAGGAGAAGCGGUUGGUCCAACUGAACGAUCUCAACGAGAUUCGCUUAGAAGCUUACGAGAGUUCCAAAAUCUACAAGGAGCGAACCAAGUCUUUCCAUGACAAGAAGAUAGUCUCAAGAGAUUUUAAGGUUGGUGAUCAAGUGCUGCUGUUCAACUCUCGCCUAAGGCUUUUUCCAGGCAAGCUCAAGUCUAGAUGGUCUGGUCCUUUCUCUGUUACUGCAGUACGACCUUAUGGUGCUAUUACUCUAGCUGGGAAGAAUGGAGAUUUCACAGUCAAUGGCCAGCGGCUCAAGAAAUACAUGGUAGAUCAAUUUAUUUCAGAAGGAACUUCUAUUCCUUUGGAGGAGCCUUUAAACGCCUAAAGAAUAUGAGGAGUCAAGCUAGAGACCUAAAACAAGCUCACUUGGGAGGAAGUCCCAUGCCUAUCUUUGUACAUAUCCUUAAUUUCCCUUGUUUUUUGAUGCAUUUUGUAGUGUUUUCAGGAGAUAAGUAUGAAGAGUUGAGGGAAACGGAUUCUAGCUUUGAGAGAACAGCAAUACACUCGACCACAAAGCAAUCAAGGACACUCGACAUUGUUCUGGCUUCUCCACCCCAUGAAAUCACUCGACCACACUCUACAGGGACCGAAUGACGAUGUGAUCGAGUAUAACGAAUGAUGCAAUCACAACGUCUCCAUGUCAGUAAUUCACUCGACCGCGGUGCUGGCCGCAACAGAAGAAGAGAGGUCGAGUAUCAUAAGAGCGGUGCUGGCCGUGACGAAGGAGCAGAGGUCGAGUACCCCCAGAGGGAAGCUGAGACACAACAGGGAGAUUCUUCGAUGGCCUGGGAGCAAUCACAGGCAGCUAUUGACGACCAACUCCGCUCCUUUUUCCACUGAGGUAAGCACCUCACUUCACCAUUGUAAUAUACCAUCUCCUUUUUUUAUUUUGUUUCUGUGAUGUGUUUUGUCCUGAGUACUCUCUUCCAAAUUUGGUCACAUAGUGGACUGUGUGAUUUAAGUUUGGGGGAGGGCUCAUGAAGUGUGUGUUGCAUUGUAUAUAAUCUUGAGUCUGCAUUCAUCUAAGGCAUAGAAAAAACCAAAAAAAUUGAAAAAUUUCAGAAAAUGAUUUCACAAAAAUAGUGUUUUUGUAGUUGCAUUGCAUUUAGGAUCGAGUCUAGAGGGUUUCAUUUAGGAUUGUUGCAUAUGCAUAGGGGAUAAUGAUGAGAUAGCCUUGUAAGCAUUUUGGUUCACCAGAUAAACUCAGUGCCCUCGUUGUUAGUUGUCUGAUGCGUAGUCAAUGAAAUUGAAGUAAAACUGCACCAUGCCUAGAUUGCUCUACUCGACCACACUGUUAGGAUCUGAUACCAUUCCCUAUCAAUUUGAACUUGAAUCUGAUUUAGAAUUAUCAUGUCUUGGCAUCGAAUUUGAACUCAUGGAUACCCUAAAGUACUUGGAUUUUCUUACUCAUUUUAACCACUCUUGUUAGUCCAAGUAGUUGACUCUCCUUCUCAAUGCAGUAAACCCGAACCCAAACCUAAACUUUCUUUCAAGCCCUAUAUCACUUGUGAGUGUCUGUGAGGUCUUAUUUCGAUUGAGCUUGGUAGAAAGUGUUAGGUUUGUAACGAUAGAGAUAGUGUCUCAUGUAGUUCUAGUUCGCAUGUUUCGGACUGGAUAAGACUAGGUGGGCGCUUAUAUCAUGGGGUGGGAUGUGUUUAAAAGAAAAGGGUGAAUUCAUUGUUGAUAAGGAAAGGGAAAGAAUUCUAAGGGAAGUGAGCUAAAGAAGUUAGAAAAAAAAUCUAGUAAAGGUUUUGGGAAUGUUAAAGAAAAGAAUGAGGUUCUUGUUAGCUAAAGAAGAAGGGUUAAAAGCCUUUGGUUUUAAAGAUUCAAAACAGGAACCUUAGUUGUUAAAGAAAUCCAAAUCCGCUAGAUGUAUCAGAGUGUCGAGAAAGCUUCUCCUAGAGUUAAGAGAAAAGAAAAGAAUGAUAUAAAA